CCUUUCAAAACCCAAAAAACUAUUCCAAUUCCCACGCUUCUUGCCCUCUCGUCGUUCUCUCUCUCUCCCUUUCUUUUUUUCCUCUCAUUCUCUCUUCCUUCAACGAUGAAUGGAGAGAAAAUCGUCCGUCAUCCCCUUUCUCCCUCAUCUCCACUUAUCCCCUUCUCCGAUUCAAACCCUAAAUGUGUCGAUAUCGGAAUUUAAGGCGUGGGAUGCCGAGUUUGUUAAGAUCCAUGCUUUUGCUACAGAUAAUGUUGUUUCCGAAAAUGGUAAGUUUCUUACUUUCACAAGGUCUUAGAAUCUUUUUAACAGGGUUAUGGUACACUUCUUAUUGUUAGUGUUGAAGAAGUUCUUGGUUGAUAUAUAAAUCUUCCAGAUAGUGAACAUGGAAGGUAAGUAAGAUUCGCAUGUUCAUGCUCUUACAGGGCUUUAUAGUUGAUAUAUUUUAUAUUUUAUCGUAAUGUUGGUGCUACGUUUGAUUUGUGAUAACUUUUGUUAUGGUGCAACUAUGAAGGAUGCAUAAUCAUGAGUUUAGUUGUUUGUUCUCUUAGUCUUUGUUACACCAUAUGGUAAUGUUUUAAUUCAAAGUGAACAUUGAUUUACAAAUGUUGGGAAUAUUGGUUUGUAAUUACAAAAUUUGAUUGUUUAUGCAGCAUAUUCAAAAGCUUCUUCGUAGGUUGAAAGCCGAAAUCGAUCAAAUAUGUCAAGCUUCUGGCGCGAUGAUUGCAGACACAAAACUCAAGGAGGUUUAAAAAGAAAUUAUUAUUUUUAGGUCUCAAUUGGAACAUAUGAUGAAUCGACUAAGUUUUUCAGAUUAUGGUCUUGAGUAUGCUUAUGGAGCACACAAGUAUUCAUUAACGGGGGUAUUUGAAGAGUAACCUCAGAGAGGUGGAGGGUUUAGAUUUACAAAUACAAUUUUGAUUGGAAAAUAGAUAAGGGAGAUCGUGAAGUAGGGUGUGAUGGAAGAACUUGCAGCUGAGUGCAGAAGAAAUGCUUGCAAUCUCAUUACAGAAAGUUGUUGCCAUUGGUGUGACCAUGCUUGUGUUAAACUCACUACAUUCUAGGAUAAGAAACUAAUGCAUCAUGGUUUGUCCCCUCAGACCCCUGCUGUAGCCAUUGAGCGAGGGACCACACUUCAGUAGCGCUCGGUAAGAUUGACAUCUGUGACUUUUCUCCAAUUUUAUUUUCGUCCCGGUUACCGCCAGUUUCACAUUUAGAAAUUUGCAUUUUCUCAAUUGUUACCAAUUUAGAUUGACAUCAUAAUUGUCAAUGAGUUUAUUCUUUAAUGAUUAAUGCAGAACAACAUGGUAGUUUAUUCUUCAACUAAAUAUAUCAAAGUAUAUUGGUUUCAAUGUGUUUGCAGGUUAUUCCACUCUUGGAUCUCGAGCACCGACACUAAAGUAAAUACAAUCAUAAUUGCAAACACUGGUUUUAGUAUUUUGAAGUUCAAUGUCUAGCAAAUUUUCUUGGCUCCUUAAUUAACAAACAUGCUAAAGAAUUUUAAAGUUUAAAAGGAGUGGUGGUCUUAGUAGGUUAAAAAUAUAAACAUGCUUGAGAGGUUUUAUACUCCUGUUAAAAAUAUAAACAUGCUGGAGAGGCUUUAUACUCCUGUUCUAAGAUUACAUGUUUUAUUCUAGAUGGUCUCUAGCAUGAUGUUUUCCUUUAACAUGAAUUUGUUGACUCGUGUGUAUCAUUAGAUAGAUACUGAUAUGUGGUUCUGCCAAUUUUUAUAAAGCUGAUAUAUAGAGGGGUUGAGCCAAAGCCACCAAUCAUUGCACUUGCGGCUUUUUUUAUAUGAAUAGGUUUACGGAAUUCUUAAAAAAAUUGAGGGAAUCUGCAAAUAUGAUCACACAAUAUUUAUAACCUCAUGCCAGGUUCCUCCACCGGGAAAAGGUUCAUUGUACCUUAGGCCUCUGGGAAGUGGUCCGGUUUUUUGUUUGGCUCCUGCACCUGAAUACACAUUACUCAUAUAUGCUUCCCCGGUUCACAACUAUUUCAAGGAAGGUUCAACACCUCUCAACUUGUAUGUAGAAGAAGAUUUUGACCGUGCUUCUCGUCGUGGAGAUUUUAACCGUGCUUCUCAACUUGUAUGAUCCUUGACAGAGGUGGAUAUGGUACUCUAGAGGAGCUUCUUGAAGUGAUAACACAGGCUCAACUUGGAGUUCAUGACAAGCCGGUGGGACUAUGAGAUGUUGAUGGAUACUUUAACUCUUUGUUGUCAUUCAUUGAAUAAGCUGUGGAAGAAGGAUUUAUCAGUCCAAAUAUUCGUCACAUAAUUGUAUCCGCACCAACUACGAAAGAGAAUAUGUUCCAUGUCAUGAGGGUGUUGUUUCAAAGUUAAGAUGGCAGAUGGAAUAGCAGCUAGCAUACCCUCAAAAUUAUGACAUCUCAAAGUAGCUUUAUCUGUGUUUACUUCAAUUGCAAGCAAGAUGAGAGACAAUAUAGAAUUUUGGAGAUGGAAGAAGCUAUUUUCAACUAUCAGUAUAGAAUUUUGGAGAUGGAAGAAGCUAUUUUCAACUAUCAGUAUUCUGUUUUUAUUUUUAUUUUUAUAAUCCUUUAAUUUCUCAUGUAUAUUACUUGGAUUGGCAUUAA